rnacentral:tRNA from 1 species
GUCCUUGUAGCUCAGUAGGAUAGAGCAACCCCCUCCUAAGGGGUAGGUCGUUGGUUCGAUUCCAAUCAAGGACGCCA